rnacentral:lncRNA from 1 species
CGCCUAAAGACUCCAUAGUCACAUUCGUAGUUUUUACUUUCAAGUUUCUCCUUUAGGUAGUUUAAUCUUUUAUAUUUUGUGAGCACGUUUUUGGUUUUAGUGUAAGGGAUGUUAAUCAAAUUUUGACUUCGCUUCCGCAUUUGAUAUUUAUAAUAUAAAUUCUAUUUUAAAUUUCCGAGGUUGCUACAGUGGAGACCUUUUGUGUUUUGGCGCCCAUACCGGACGGGGUAUGGAGACGGCCCGUUUCACCCUCAUACCGGACGGGGUAUUGAGGUUUAUAGUUUUAGCGCCCAUACUGGACGGGGUAUGGGGACGGCCCUGAAAUCUGAUUACAAGUGUUAAGGGUUCACGGGUAGCGGGACCCCUAUGGAUCCCCAUGGAUACUAGUAGGCUGAUAAAUGAGGAAAAAUAUGUUGUGUAAUGAUUGAAUUGCAAAGGUGUGAUAAGUAAUU